rnacentral:tRNA from 1 species
GGGGUUAUAGCUCAGUCGGUCAGAGCGCCUCGCUCACAUCGAGGAGGUCGGCGGUUCGAGCCCGUCUAACCCCACCA